rnacentral:rRNA from 1 species
UACGUAGGGGGCAAGCGUUGUCCGGAAUCAUUGGGCGUAAAGAGCGUGUAGGCGGCCCGAUAAGUCCGCCGUGAAAGUCCAGGGCUCAACCCUGGAAUGCCGGUGGAAACUGUCGGGCUGGAGUCCGGAAGAGGCGAGUGGAAUUCCUGGUGUAGCGGUGAAAUGCGCAGAUAUCAGGAGGAACACCGAUGGCGAAGGCAGCUCGCUGGGACGGUACUGACGCUGAGGCGCGAAAGCGUGGGGAGCAAAUAGG